rnacentral:rRNA from 1 species
UGGCUCAGAAUGAACGCUGGCGGCAUGCCUAACACAUGCAAGUCGAACGAGACCUUCGGGUCUAGUGGCGCACGGGUGCGUAACGCGUGGGAAUCUGCCCUUGGGUUCGGAAUANCAGUGAGAAAUUACUGCUAAUACCGAAUGAUGACGUAAGUCCAAAGAUUUAUCGCCCAGGGAUGAGCCCGCGUAGGAUUAGCUAGUUGGUGAGGUAAAAGCUCACCAAGGCGACGAUCCUUAGCUGGUCUGAGAGGAUGAUCAGCCACACUGGGACUGAGACACGGCCCAGACUCCUACGGGAGGCAGCAGUGGGGAAUAUUGGACAAUGGGCGAAAGCCUGAUCCAGCAAUGCCGCGUGUAGUGAUGAAGGCCUUAGGGUUGUAAAGACUCUUUUACCCGGGCAUGCAUAAUGACAGUACCGGGUAGCAAUAAGACGCCGGGCUAACCCCUGUGC